GUAUAAGUCAGAGUCUCCUAAAGAGCCUGAACAACUGAGGAAGCUCUUCGUUGGACGGUUGAGCUUUGAAACAACUGAUGAGAGCCUGAGGAGCCACUCUGAGCAAUGGGAACGCUCACGGACUGUGUGGUCAUGAGACAUCCAAACACCUAGUGCUCCAGGGGCUGUGCGUUUGUCACUAUGCCACUGUGGGGGAGGUGGAUGCAGCCAUGAAUGCAAGGCCACACAGGGUGGAUGGAAGAGUUGUGGAAACAAAGAGAACUGUCUCAAGAGAAGAUUCUCGAAGACCAGGUGCCCACUUAACUGUGAAAAAGAUAUUUGUUGGUGGCACUAAAGAAGACACUGAAGAACAUCACCUAAGAGAUUUUUU
rnacentral:lncRNA from 1 species